rnacentral:rRNA from 1 species
GGCGCGCAAUUACCCAAUCCCGACACGGGGAGGUAGUGACAAUAAAUACUGAUACAGGGCUCUUUUGGGUCUUGUAAUUGGAAUGAGUACAAUUUAAAUCCCUUAACGAGGAACAAUUGGAGGGCAAGUCUGGUGCCAGCAGCCGCGGUAAUUCCAGCUCCAAUAGCGUAUAUUAAAGUUGUUGUGGUUAAAAAGCUCGUAGUUGAACCUUGGGCCUGGCUGGCCGGUCCGCCUCACCGCGUGUACUGGUCCGGCCGGGCCUUUCCCUCUGUGGAACCCCAUGCCCUUCACUGGGUGUGGCGGGGAAACAGGACUUUUACUUUGAAAAAAUUAGAGUGCUCCAGGCAGGCCUAUGCUCGAAUACAUUAGCAUGGAAUAAUAGAAUAGGACGUGUGGUUCUAUUUUGUUGGUUUCUAGGACCGCCGUAAUGAUUAAUAGGGACAGUCGGGGGCAUCAGUAUUCAAUUGUCAGAGGUGAAAUUCUUGGAUUUAUUGAAGACUAACUACUGCGAAAGCAUUUGCCAAGGAUGUUUUCAUUAAUCAGGAACGAAAGUUAGGGGAUCGAAGACGAUCAGAUACCGUCGUAGUCUUAACCAUAAACUAUGCCGACUAGGGAUCGGACGAUGUUAUUUUUUUGACUCGUUCGGCACCUUACGAGAAAUCAAAGUGCUUGGGGCUCCAGGGGGGAGU